AUUGAACGCUGGCGGCAGGCCUAACACAUGCAAGUCGAGCGGAGCGGCGGACGGGUGAGUAAUGCCUAGGAAUCUGACUGGUAGUGGGGGAUAACGUCCGGAAACGGGCGCUAAUACCGCAUACUAUCAGAAGAGCCUAGGUCGGAUUAGCUAGUUGGUGGGGUAAAGGCCUACCAAGGCGACGAUCAGUAACUGGUCUGAGAGGAUGAUCAGUCCCCCGUGAACGUAGACACUGUCCAUACUCCUACGGGAGGCAGCAGUGGGGAAUAGUGGGCAAUUGGCGAAAGCCUGACCCAGCCAUGCCGAGUGUGUGAAGAAGGUCUUCGGAUUGUAAAGCACUUUAAGUUGGGAGGCGUUACCAACAGAAUAAGCACCGGCUAACUUCGUGCCAGCAGCCGCGGUAAUAC
rnacentral:rRNA from 1 species